rnacentral:tRNA from 1 species
GCGUUGGUGGUGUAGCGGUAUCACAUGUCCCUGCCACGGACAUAACCCGGGUUCAAAUCCCGGCCAACGCA